UGGGGAAUAUUGCACAAUGGGCGCAAGCCUGAUGCAGCCAUGCCGCGUGUGUGAAGAAGGCCUUCGGGUUGUAAAGUACUUUCAGUCGGGAGGAAGGUGGUAAGGUUAAUAACCUUAUCAAUUGACGUUACCGACAGAAGAAGCACCGGCUAACUCCGUGCCAGCAGCCGCGGUAAUACGGAGGGUGCAAGCGUUAAUCGGAAUUACUGGGCGUAAAGCGCACGCAGGCGGUUGAUUGAGUCAGAUGUGAAAUCCCCGGGCUUAACCCGGGAAUUGCAUCUGAUACUGGUCAGCUAGAGUCUUGUAGAGGGGGGUAGAAUUCCUUGUGUAGCGGUGAAAUGCGUAGAGAUGUGGAGGAAUACCGGUGGCGAAGGCGGCCCCCUGGACAAAGACUGACGCUCAGGUGCGAAAGCGUGGGGAGCAAACAGG
rnacentral:rRNA from 1 species